UGGGGAAUAUUGCGCAAUGGGCGAAAGCCUGACGCAGCGACGCCUCGUGAGGGAUGAAGGUCUUCGGAUCGUAAACCUCUGUCAAGAGGGAAGAAACCCUUGGGUUCGAAUAGAACCCUUGGCUGACGGUACCUCAAAAGGAAGCACCGGCUAACUCCGUGCCAGCAGCCGCGGUAAUACGGAGGGUGCAAGCGAUAAUCGGAAUCACUGGGCGUAAAGCGCUCGUAGGCGGUUUGGUCAGUCAGAUGUGAAAGCCCUCGGCUUAACCGGGGAACUGCA
rnacentral:rRNA from 1 species